rnacentral:rRNA from 1 species
CAUGUGGUUUAAUUCGUAUGAUACGCGAGGAACCUACCUGGGCUCGAACGUAAGAUGACUGUAGGUGAAAGCUUACAUCUCUUCGGAGCAUUUUACGUAGGUGCUGCAUGGUUGUCGUCAGCUCGUGCCGUGAGGUGUCGGGUUAAGUCCCAUAACGAGCGCAACCCCUACCUUUAGUUGCCAUCAGGUUAAGCUGGGGACUCUAAAGGAACUGCCUACGCAAGUAGUGAGGAAGGCGGGGAUGACGUCAAAUCAGCACGGCCCUUACGUCCAGGGCUACACACGUGCUACAAUGGCCGAUACAGAGGGCAGCUACCUGGUGACAGGAUGCAAAUCUCCAAAGUCGGUCUCAGUUCGGAUCGGAGUCUGCAACCCGACUCCGUGAAGUUGGAUUCGCUAGUAAUCGCGCAUCAGCCAUGGCGCGGUGAAUACGUUCCCGGGCCUU